rnacentral:sRNA from 1 species
UUUGAGGUAGGAUGUGUAGUUUUCGCGGA